rnacentral:rRNA from 1 species
UACAGAGGUCUCAAGCGUUGUUCGGAUUCAUUGGGCGUAAAGGGCGCGUAGGCUGCGGGGCAAGUCGGGUGUGAAAUCUCAGAGCUCAACUCUGAAACUGCACUCGAUACUGCUUUGCUUGAGGACUGGAGAGGAGAUUGGAAUUCACGGUUUAGCAGUGAAAUGCGUAGAUAUCGUGAGGAAGACCAGUGGCGAAGGCGGAUCUCUGGACAGUUCCUGACGCUGAGGCGCGAAGGCCAGGGGAGCAAACGGG